GAAGAGCCUGAAGACAUUUGCUGUUGAUAAUAAUACACUUAAUUGGUUGUUAAAUGGUUAAUGAAGUCAGGGUUAACAUCAUGCAAUGUCCCUAAAGCUGAUGAAGAACUACUCAUUUUCUGCCCCUGAAAGGAAGAUGAACCAUUACUAUGAACUUCAGGGUCUUUCAUACAAGCAUGAGCAAUUAACAUCAGUCGUUCAAGAUCACACCUGCUCAUGAUCAUGCAGAGAAUUCUCAUUUGCUGGAUAAAACUUCUAAUAUCACCUCCUUACGGACAAAGAUGGAGUUCACGCAGCAAAAUCGUGCUGGAGAGUAAACACAACAACACAAGCAAAGCCCCGUGGCCUUUGAGUUGCAAAGUACUGUGGUGGGUAUGUGUGGAUCUAGAUGUCAAAUUAAUUAUCUGAGGCUUAAUUAGCUGUAAUUGAAGUGACCUAUAAUUUCAUAUUACUUGACUGGCAUCUACUAACAGAUGCCCUUUUCCUGUCUACUUCUGACUUCCUUUCCCUUAAAAAGGUGCUGUUGCUAAUAAGAGAUCUAUGGAAAUGGCAGAAAAUUUACAGUUAUUUCCGCAUCUAUUUCCCUUUAUGAAGAACAUGAGCCCAUCUGACUUUGAGAACAUCCUAGCAGACGAGGUUCUGGUCCUCCUGCUUAGAGAUGCGUCUAAUUAGUGCUAAUGAACUAGCUGACCUGUGGUGAAUUCUUACUGAUGAAUAGCCUCCAGUUCUGCCUCAUGGUGACAAGCCACCCAUAUGAGUUCUGCACCUGAUUCCUCCUCCUCAUGACAAAUUUAUCUGUUCUUAACGCAGGAUAAUAACCUUUACUGACAGUAAUAUUAUUUCCCUAUGCUUGAUCAUACAGUCCUCAUAGGGCUGCUGCAAGCACACAGCUGUAUUAAAAGUACAGCUACACAGCAUGUGUGCGUGGACUGUUCUUUAAAAUAGUUCAUCUGACCAAAACAAAAUAACUUCUUGCUGCUCAGAUUUAGGAAGUGUUCAAACACAGUUAAGGAAUGGAUUUUCUUCAUCGCUUUGUCCCAUCAUUCUUCUUGCCUUCCGCUGAGCCAGUGUGCAAUGGCAGCACCUGAGUCUCAUCUGUUUAAUUUGCUGGGAGGAUAUCACCAGGGCAGUCACACCAAGAGCCUCUUCUGGGAGCUGGGCAGCAAUCUGAUGUAUUUGUUAAUAGAGUCACACUGACAGGAUCCUCUAUGAUAUAAAUGAUUGGAGAAGUAGCAGUGUUCUCAGCGAGGGCUAGCAGGUAAUCGUGCAAUAAAUUAAAAAAUAAAAAGGGGGAAAUAGUUGCC
rnacentral:lncRNA from 1 species